rnacentral:lncRNA from 1 species
UUUGGAUUAUAUUAAAUAUUUCUAAAAUAACCGCUAUAGCGUGAUAAAUUUGAUACCGAAAAUUUCAAAAAACUAGUAAAAAUACAUUAUUUAUGUGAAUUAUCUUGUAUUAUAGUAAAAAAUUGAUAAAAAGCAUAAAUUGAAUGGAAAAGCUACUUGUAAAAAUUUGGUAUUUUCCAACAAAUCUCUGAGACAAAAUAUCUUUUUUUGAAAAAAAUAAAUUAAAAUGUGUUAUUUUGGUUGUGAUUUUUUUUUUUUUUAUGCUUUGAAGAUAUUAUGAUCAAAU